CAAGGAAUAGUUUAAGUUUUAGAAUUCUAGCUUUGGGUGUUAGAGGUGGGAUUUGUCUCUUCCUUGA
rnacentral:tRNA from 1 species